UACGUAGGGACCAAGCGUUGUUCGGAUUUACUGGGCGUAAAGGGCGCGUAGGCGGCGCGGUAAGUCACUUGUGAAAUCUCUGAGCUUAACUCAGAACGGCCAAGUGAUACUGCAGUGCUAGAGUGUGGAAGGGGCAAUCGGAAUUCUUGGUGUAGCGGUGAAAUGCGUAGAUAUCAGUCGGAACACCGGUGGCGAAGGCGGCUUCUUGGGCCGUUCCUGACGCUG
rnacentral:rRNA from 1 species